UGAAGCUUUUGUCUACUAUUUUUUAAAGAUUCAUUAGUAUGCAUAGAGUAUAACAGAACAUGAAAGUAGCUAGGAUUAGGUAAUGCCACUAACGAGUUUCCUUAUAAAGUUGGAGACAGACUACAUAAAGGUUGUACGUUAUGGUUGGGAGAUAUGAAACUAAUGUUGAUCUUUAGUUGUUGUUAUGAGAUUAAAUUCUUGACCUUAUCUGGUCUGAAUAAUUGUAUCAAACUUGUAGUAUUGUGUUUUGUGUUGAUGUCACUGGGAUUAGGUAGUGCCGCUAAUGAGUUUACUUAUGCUGAGCUGAUAACGCAAUUAAAAUGCAUCCAAAAAGUUGGAGACAGACUACAUAAAGGCUGUACUAUAUGGUUGGGAGAUAUGAAGACAUGAAAAUAUAGUUGAUCUUUGGUUGUUAUUAUGAGAUCAGACCUGUGCCCUUAUCUGGUCUGAGUCGUUGUAUACUCUAUCAACUUUAUAGUCUUUUAUUUUAUUCUUCAUUACGAGAUUGCCGGCUCGGAAGAACUGUGAUGUGUGAAGUACUGAGUGAUGACAAUCUCGUAAAAGACAAUUACUGAGAGUGAAGUAGAAUCUGAUAAUUCUCAGUUCAUUGAAUUUUAUAUUAUGAAGUUCUUGAUGAUGAUAAGGGUUUUUAUUUGAUUUCCUUGUUUUCAUCUCACAGAACAGAAGAGCAGGCCUGAGGUCCUGCCUGAGUUCACUACCAUAAUAGCUGCGUAAGAAGUAGCCAGGAAAGCUAUGGAUGGAAUCAAGGCAGGAAAGUUCACAGUCUCAUGCAACUUUGAAGGAUUUUUAUUGUCUCUCGCGACAACCGGCAUGUCCUCUCAGAGGUCGUUUUGGCUAGCGUUUCUUGAAAUUAUUACCGCAGGGCCUAUAAGACUAGUCGCUCUCUUUUUCCAAUGGGAUUGGUAUAACGCUAUAGAAAAAUGGAGCAAGACCAAAACACAUAAGAGCUAGAUGGCUAUCUGAAACAUUCUUUUCAUAUUGGUUCUUGAAGAAGAAGAGGUAUAAGGAACGAGAUGUAGUUGAGAUUUUGAAGGAAGUUGUUCCAUCUAAUAGUUUAACUGUGCUGCAUGAAAUCUGAGAACUUCUUAAGGUUUGUUCAAAGCACUUAGAAACAUUUGUAUCUAGUCGGAGGUGACAUUUUCUCAAGUGAACUCCAUGCUGAUCAUGCAUAGAGAUAUCACCAGAUUCUCGAACAAUAAAAUAUUGCCCCAUUCUCCUUUCUCGGUGGCCAUGAUUGUUGAGGCUUCCCUUGUGUGACAAGACUGCUUAGUGUAACCAGGGGUUUUAUCAGGGCCAGCUCAAUGGUGUCACGGACCCUGGGACAAAAAAAAAUUAAUUUCUAAACUAUUAUUUAAAAAAAAAAGAAAUCUGAUAAAUAUAUGUUUUUUUUGAAAUACAUUAAGUAUUUUUAAAAAUAAAUCUAUGGAAAUAAAAAAAAAUACUUUCAUAUAAAAAAUUUUGGGCCGAUCUCCCUCCGUGGUUGGCGGUGCUCUUCACCGUCGCUAUGUGAGGGAGGAUAUCCUCUUUCUCUUUAGUUUAAUCUAGGUUUCUAUGGUUUAUGGUAGUUUAGGUGAAGGUCGUUGUUGUCAAGUCGAGGGUUGCUUUAGAUUUGGGUUGUGGUGCUUCUGUUUCUCUUCGGUUGCUUGCAGUUAUGGCCAAUUCUUUUUUCGCCUUGUUCUAGCUUUUUGGAUUCGUCGGUGUGAGGUAUAUUUGCUGUGGAGGAAUCUACUAAACAUCUCCUUUAUCCACCAUGGAGACGAAGCAGUGAGUUUGAUUUGUAGGUUUUCUCUUGCGAGGAGGUGACCAGUUUUAGCUCUGUAGAUCGCUAUUCUGCCUAACGAGUGUCCGCGUGUAAGACCUGUAAAUCUUCGCCGGUGUUUUUCCCUUUAGCAUUUCAAGUUCUUGUGUCCUUGAGCCUAGGUGUUUGGUUUUGACUUGGUUCUGCCUUGGCUCCGGUUUGCAACAGUCUUUGGUGUUGAUGAGUGUCUGCGAGUUAUGAUCAGUCCAUUAGUUCCAGCUUUAGUACAUGUGGCUCUCUAAUGCUUUUUUCUCGUAUUAUCCUACCUCAUUGUUAUUAUCUCCCUCUUUUGGGCUAUUGCUUCCGUAGAUAUUACCAUUUUCUGCCGGCUUUUGUAAUCCACGAUGUGUUCCGUUAUGAAAGAUUAUAAAAUUUUGAGUUAAAAAAAAAUGGGCCCUUUUUCUUAUUUUUAUAAAAAAAUUGGACCCUUAUGUAUUAAGAAAUAGGAGGAUAACGAUUGGGUCCGGGGCGGUGGCACCGCUCGCCCCCUAUCUAAGCCGGCCCUGGGUUUUAUAUCCAGCAGGGUAUCCAUGAAGUCUGCAACGUCGGUUUACUGUAUGAUCACCCAUGCCGCAAUGAUAACAAAUAGUUCUUCCUUCUGUUUGUAAGCAGGAACAUAUGCAGCAACCAGUUGUUCAAAAGAUGUGGCUGUUGGCGAUGCCUUAGAUAUCACUGAAAUAGUGUCAUUUGUUUUCAUUGAACUCUGUCAUUCUUUUUGAGAAAUUAGAUUGAAAACCUUAGAGAUGGAUGGUUUUGGUUCCAACAUCAGAUACCGAGAAAGAAGAAGCUCGAAUCGGACUCUAAAUCAACAAGAUGAAACAGAAGAGAAGAACAAUUGAUGUGAUACCAUAUUAGAUUCUGUAGAUGUUGAGCACGAGCCCAGAGAGAGAGAUAAAGAAAGUAAAAUUUGUCAUUAUUAAUCUGGUCGACAUUAUGUUACAGUUAACGUUUACUAUAUACUCUCUCGGAAAGUUCACCCAAACUAAAAAAAUAACGGAAAUAUAUGUAAGUUGUUAUUAAUUACAUCUUUCUGACCAAUAUUAUUUGAGAUAAAUAAAAUUAUUUAUAAAACCAAUGAAGUUUACAAUUAAUUUUCAGCUGAAAGUAAGUAUAAUUUGCAUUGAAAUUGUAGAAUGACACUUUUUAUGUAACAAAAAAAAAAAGAUAGAAUGACACUUAUUAUAAAACAGAGAGAGUAUCGUAUACCAAUCUGGUUUAAUAUCUCUAUGAUCACAUUAGAAACCAGUUUAUUAACUCUAUAAACUGUGUAUUUGCGAGAUAGUUUGAGUAAUCAUAUCAAACUGAAAAAAGUCAUUUAGUUAAAAAAAAUAUUUAGAACAAGAAGCAACAUUGUUAUAU